rnacentral:rRNA from 1 species
AGGCUUUGAGCAGAACAACAGGGAUUGCCCUAGUAACGGCGAGUGAAGCGGCAACAGCUCAAAUUUGAAAUCUGGCGCAAGCCCGAGUUGUAAUUUGUAGAGGAUGCUUCUGGGUAGCGACCGAUCUAAGUUCCUUGGAACAGGACGUCAUAGAGGGUGAGAAUCCCGUAUGUGACCGGCCCGCACCCUUUACGUAGCUCCUUCGACGAGUCGAGUUGUUUGGGAAUGCAGCUCUAAAUGGGAGGUAAAUUUCUUCUAAAGCUAAAUACCGGCCAGAGACCGAUAGCGCACAAGUAGAGUGAUCGAAAGAUGAAAAGUACUUUGGAAAGAGAGUUAAAAAGCACGUGAAAUUGUUGAAAGGGAAGCGCCUGCAACCAGACUUCGCGGCAGUGUUCCGCCGGUCUUCUGACCGGUUCAUUCUCUGUCGCGAGGCCAUCAUCGUCUGGGCCCGCCGGAUAAGACCUGAGGAAUGUGGCUCCCCCUCGGGGGAGUGUUAUAGCCUCUGGUGAUGCGGCGUGGCUCGGGCGAGGUCCGCGCUUCGGCAAGGAUGAUGGCGUAAUGGUUGUCGGCGGCCCGUCUUGAAACACGGACCAAGGAGUCUAACAUCUAUGCGAGUGUUCGGGUGUCAAACCCCUACGCGUAAUGAAAGUGAACGGAGGUGGGAACCGCAAGGUGCACCAUCGACCGAUCCUGAUGUCCUCGGAUGGAUUUGAGUAAGAGCAUAGCUGUUGGGACCCGAAAGAUGGUGAACUAUGCCUGAAUAGGGUGAAGCCAGAGGAAACUCUGGUGGAGGCUCGCAGCGGUUCUGACGUGCAAAUCGAUCGUCAAAUUUGGGUAUAGGGGCGAAAGACUAAUCGAACCAUCUAGUAGCUGGUUCCUGCCGAAGUUUCCCUCAGAUAGCAGUAACGUUUUCAGUUUAUGAGGUAAAGCGAAUGAUUAGAGGCCUUGGGGUUGAAACAACCUUACCUAUUCUCAACUUUAAAUAUGUAGAGUCUGUACUAGUGACGUGACAUUGAUGUACCGUUACUAGUGGCCAUUUUGUAGCACAAAACUGGCAGGA